rnacentral:rRNA from 1 species
GGAUGCGAUCAUACCAGCACUAAAGCAUCGGAUCCCAUCAAAACUCCGAAGUUAAGCGUGCUUGGGCGAUAGUAGUACUAGAAUGGGUGACCUCCUGGGAAGUCCUCGUGUUGCAUUCC